rnacentral:lncRNA from 1 species
GCAAGUGUGAUCUAGUCGGCUGUUUGGUUUCCUUUGCAAUAGAUGUGGGUGGUUUGAACAGCAAAUAAAGCAUGCUACUAAUGGAUGAUAUCAAGCAUCAAUAGGUGAGUGGCAUACCUACAAGUGAACGAAGAAGUAAUCCACAAGUAAUAACUAUGGCUAAAUCCCCUUCAAGCCAAACUAGUUGUGCUUGAAAUUGAAGUAUGGCUGUGCCAAGACCUGCCCAAGCAGCUACUAGCUCCGCAUAUGAGACUGUAGCGGUUGUGAGCCUUUUCCCAUAAGCACAUAGCAACCUUCCCUGUUGAUAUUGUAUUACAAAAUCUUGCUGCUGCAUAGUCACCGCGUACCUUCAAAACACCAAGGGGAGGGGGCAGCCAACAAACAUAAGUAUUCAAAAAACACAAGUUAAAGUGUAAAGUAGUACCACCCCAGAACCUUGAUUGUGUAAUGUGGGUAGAAUGAAAGUCAGCCAACCCGAAUUCAACGAGAAAAUAGAUAUAUGUCUUACUAGCUAGCGAGAGGUUGACAGGCUUGCUUGAAACA